AUAACAAUACAGGACUCUUUCGAGGCCCUGAAAUUGGAAUGAGUACACUUUAAAUACUUUAACGAAGAUUUAUUGGAGGGCAAGUCUGGUGCAGAGCGACUGACCCGUGCGUGCUGCAGCUGAAACUCCUGCUGCUC
rnacentral:rRNA from 1 species